rnacentral:rRNA from 1 species
AACGAACGCUGGCGGCAUGCCUAACACAUGCAAGUCGAACGAGACCUCCGGGUCUAGUGGCGCACGGGUGCGUAACGCGUGGGAACCUGCCCUUAGGUUCGGAAUACCUCCCCGAAAGGGGUGCUAAUACCGGAUAAUGUCUUCGGACCAAGGAUUUAUCGCCUUUGGAUGGGCCCGCGUUGGAUUAGCUAGUUGGUAGGGUAAAAGCCUACCAAGGCGACGAUCCAUAGCUGGUCUGGGAGGAUGAUCAGCCACACUGGGACUGAGACACGGCCCAGACUCCUACGGGAGGCAGCAGUGGGGAAUAUUGGACAAUGGGCGAAAGCCUGAUCCAGCAAUGCCGGGUGAGUGAUGAAGGCCUUAGGGUUGUAAAGCUCUUUUACCCGGGAUGAUAAUGACAGUACCGGGAGAAUAAGCUCCGGCUAACUCCGUG